rnacentral:pre_miRNA from 1 species
CAAAUACUCCCUCCGUCCGAAAAUACUUGUCAUCAAAAUGAAUAAAAGGAAAUGUAUCUAGAUGUAUUUUAGUUUUAGAUACAUCUCUUUUUAUCCAUUUUGAUGACAAGUAUUUUCGGACGGAGGGAGUAGAAA